UUGUGUGUAUGUGUGUAGUUAACGGUGUUAACACCUGUGUUUCAGGUGUAUCAGUAUGAAGCAGGCGGUGACGGCGCACUGAUUCACUCUCGGAGCUCGGUUCACUAAUGACCGAAUCACCGAGGAACUGACCAAAGAUAACUCACACCCGCACGGAGAAGAAGAACAAGAGGAGGAGAAGAUGAGCUGGAGUGGGGCAAAGAGAACUGCAUUCAGAUCAAACGGUGGCUGAGUUGUUUGAGGAUCUGAAGAAUUGAGUGUCACAAUUCAACAUGCACAUCAGCGAAACUUCUCCCUCUGACUACACCAGCGCGCGCACACAGAAAUUCAUAGUGCAGGUGGCGAUUGCAGGCGCAUUUUAUCCGAACUGCUUCCUCCAGGGAACUGUGGACGAGGAGCUCGCCUCCAAGGAGCUCUAUGGAAACGACCCCAGGACCACCGUAGUGGUAUUCAGUCAGCUUCCAUUUAACUAGGGGAUUAAUAUUAUUAUUAAUAAUAUAUUUCUCUCUCUCCCUCCCUCUCUCUCUCUCAGGUGUGUAAUCUCCCUCCAUUUGCAUUCCUCUACUAUAAACAGCUCCAGUCUCUCUUCAGACACUGUGGUUAAGUCAAAUCCAUCUCCUUUGACAGCUCCAGGGCCUAUGUAGAGUUCUACCGCUCGUCAAUGAGAGGUUCUGGCGUUCUCCCAGAGGUCUCUCUGUCUCUCCUCCUCGCGCAGCAGAGACUUCCUCUCCAUCUCAACGUUUAACCUGCUGGAGAGGUGGAGACUUGGGCAGGGGGGUAGUGUAUCUCACACCUCAGAUAUACACGGGUGAAUGUGGAUUUUCAGAAUCAGUCAGUGAGCCCUGUCGGGGUUCUGAGCAGCUCCAUUGAGUUGGAGAAUCUUCCGUCUAACCCUGUCUUUAUCGUCAAUAUCACCGAGGUGUCUGUUCCGCCUCUUUCACUUUCAGUGCACAAAUAAAAAAAAAAAAGCAGUGGCUCCUGUGUGUGUCUCUGUGUGUGUGUGUGUGCCACUAACAGGAUUUGUGUGUGUGUGUGUGUGUGUGUGUGUAGGUCAUCGAAGUGGGGCAUUUCUGGGGUUUCCAGGCUCACGAGGCAAGUCUGGAGAAACAGAGGUGGCUGACAGUGGCCGUUAAUACACGGGCGCUCUGCC